rnacentral:rRNA from 1 species
GACGAACGCUGGCGGCGUGCUUAACACAUGCAAGUCGAGCGAUGAAGCACCUUCGGGUGUGAAUUAGCGGCGAACGGGUGAGGAACACGUGAGAAAUCUGCCUUCAACACUGGGAUAACUCCGGGAAACCGGGGCUAAUACCGGAUAUGAAACCUGCGGGCAUCCGCGGGUUGGAAAGUUUUCGGUUGAAGAUGAUCUCGCGGCCUAUCAGCUAGUUGGUGAGGUAAUGGCUCACCAAGGCAACGACGGGUAGCCGGCCUGAGAGGGCGACCGGCCACACUGGGACUGAGACACGGCCCAGACUCCUACGGGAGGCAGCAGUGGGGAAUAUUGGGCAAUGGAGGAAACUCUGACCCAGCGACGCCGCGUGCGGGAUGAAGGCCUUCGGGUUGUAAACCGCUUUCAGUAGGGAAGAAGCGAAAGUGACGGUACCUACAAAGAAGCACCGGCUAACUAUGUG